rnacentral:rRNA from 1 species
AACGAACGCUGGCGGCAUGCCUAACACAUGCAAGUCGAACGAAGCCUUCGGGCUUAGUGGCGCACGGGUGCGUAACGCGUGGGAAUCUGCCUCUUGCUUCGGAAUAACAGUUGAAAUGACUGCUAAUACCGGAUGAUGUCUUCGGACCAAAGAUUUAUCGGCAAGAGAUGAGCCCGCGUAGGAUUAGGAAGUUGGUGGGGUAAAGGCCUACCAAGCCGACGAUCCUUAGCUGGUCUGAGAGGAUGAUCAGCCACACUGGGACUGAGACACGGCCCAGACUCCUACGGGAGGCAGAAGGGGGGAAUAUUGGAAAAUGGACGCAAGUCUGAUCCAGCAAUGCCGCGUGAGUGAUGAAGGCCUUAGGGUUGUAAAAUCCUUUCACCGGUGAAGAUAAUGACUGUAGCCGGAGAAGAAGCCCCGGCUAACUUCGUGCCAGCAGCCGCCGUAAAAC